GGGUUGUGAGGUUAAGCGACUAAGCGUACACGGUGGAUGCCCUGGCAGUCAGAGGCGAUGAAGGACGUGCUAAUCUGCGAUAAGCGUCGGUAAGGUGAUAUGAACCGUUAUAACCGGCGAUUUCCGAAUGGGGAAACCCAGUGUGUUUCGACACACUAUCAUUAACUGAAUCCAUAGGUUAAUGAGGCGAACCGGGGGAACUGAAACAUCUAAGUACCCCGAGGAAAAGAAAUCAACCGAGAUUCCCCCAGUAGCGGCGAGCGAACGGGGAGCAGCCCAGAGCCUGAAUCAGUGUGUGUGUUAGUGGAAGCGUCUGGAAAGGCGCGCGAUACAGGGUGACAGCCCCGUACACAAAAAUGCACAUAUUGUGAGCUCGAUGAGUAGGGCGGGACACGUGGUAUCCUGUCUGAAUAUGGGGGGACCAUCCUCCAAGGCUAAAUACUCCUGACUGACCGAUAGUGAACCAGUACCGUGAGGGAAAGGCGAAAAGAACCCCGGCGAGGGGAGUGAAAAAGAACCUGAAACCGUGUACGUACAAGCAGUGGGAGCACGCUUAGGCGUGUGACUGCGUACCUUUUGUAUAAUGGGUCAGCGACUUAUAUUCUGUAGCAAGGUUAACCGAAUAGGGGAGCCGAAGGGAAACCGAGUCUUAACUGGGCGUUAAGUUGCAGGGUAUAGACCCGAAACCCGGUGAUCUAGCCAUGGGCAGGUUGAAGGUUGGGUAACACUAACUGGAGGACCGAACCGACUAAUGUUGAAAAAUUAGCGGAUGACUUGUGGCUGGGGGUGAAAGGCCAAUCAAACCGGGAGAUAGCUGGUUCUCCCCGAAAGCUAUUUAGGUAGCGCCUCGUGAAUUCAUCUCCGGGGGUAGAGCACUGUUUCGGCAAGGGGGUCAUCCCGACUUACCAACCCGAUGCAAACUGCGAAUACCGGAGAAUGUUAUCACGGGAGACACACGGCGGGUGCUAACGUCCGUCGUGAAGAGGGAAACAACCCAGACCGCCAGCUAAGGUCCCAAAGUCAUGGUUAAGUGGGAAACGAUGUGGGAAGGCCCAGACAGCCAGGAUGUUGGCUUAGAAGCAGCCAUCAUUUAAAGAAAGCGUAAUAGCUCACUGGUCGAGUCGGCCUGCGCGGAAGAUGUAACGGGGCUAAACCAUGCACCGAAGCUGCGGCAGCGACACUGUGUGUUGUUGGGUAGGGGAGCGUUCUGUAAGCCUGUGAAGGUGUGCUGUGAGGCAUGCUGGAGGUAUCAGAAGUGCGAAUGCUGACAUAAGUAACGAUAAAGCGGGUGAAAAGCCCGCUCGCCGGAAGACCAAGGGUUCCUGUCCAACGUUAAUCGGGGCAGGGUGAGUCGACCCCUAAGGCGAGGCCGAAAGGCGUAGUCGAUGGGAAACAGGUUAAUAUUCCUGUACUUGGUGUUACUGCGAAGGGGGGACGGAGAAGGCUAUGUUGGCCGGGCGACGGUUGUCCCGGUUUAAGCGUGUAGGCUGGUUUUCCAGGCAAAUCCGGAAAAUCAAGGCUGAGGCGUGAUGACGAGGCACUACGGUGCUGAAGCAACAAAUGCCCUGCUUCCAGGAAAAGCCUCUAAGCAUCAGGUAACAUCAAAUCGUACCCCAAACCGACACAGGUGGUCAGGUAGAGAAUACCAAGGCGCUUGAGAGAACUCGGGUGAAGGAACUAGGCAAAAUGGUGCCGUAACUUCGGGAGAAGGCACGCUGAUAUGUAGGUGAAGUCCCUCGCGGAUGGAGCUGAAAUCAGUCGAAGAUACCAGCUGGCUGCAACUGUUUAUUAAAAACACAGCACUGUGCAAACACGAAAGUGGACGUAUACGGUGUGACGCCUGCCCGGUGCCGGAAGGUUAAUUGAUGGGGUCAGCGCAAGCGAAGCUCUUGAUCGAAGCCCCGGUAAACGGCGGCCGUAACUAUAACGGUCCUAAGGUAGCGAAAUUCCUUGUCGGGUAAGUUCCGACCUGCACGAAUGGCGUAAUGAUGGCCAGGCUGUCUCCACCCGAGACUCAGUGAAAUUGAACUCGCUGUGAAGAUGCAGUGUACCCGCGGCAAGACGGAAAGACCCCGUGAACCUUUACUAUAGCUUGACACUGAACAUUGAGCCUUGAUGUGUAGGAUAGGUGGGAGGCUUUGAAGUGUGGACGCCAGUCUGCAUGGAGCCGACCUUGAAAUACCACCCUUUAAUGUUUGAUGUUCUAACGUUGACCCGUGAUCCGGGUUGCGGACAGUGUCUGGUGGGUAGUUUGACUGGGGCGGUCUCCUCCUAAAGAGUAACGGAGGAGCACGAAGGUUGGCUAAUCCUGGUCGGACAUCAGGAGGUUAGUGCAAUGGCAUAAGCCAGCUUGACUGCGAGCGUGACGGCGCGAGCAGGUGCGAAAGCAGGUCAUAGUGAUCCGGUGGUUCUGAAUGGAAGGGCCAUCGCUCAACGGAUAAAAGGUACUCCGGGGAUAACAGGCUGAUACCGCCCAAGAGUUCAUAUCGACGGCGGUGUUUGGCACCUCGAUGUCGGCUCAUCACAUCCUGGGGCUGAAGUAGGUCCCAAGGGUAUGGCUGUUCGCCAUUUAAAGUGGUACGCGAGCUGGGUUUAGAACGUCGUGAGACAGUUCGGUCCCUAUCUGCCGUGGGCGCUGGAGAACUGAGGGGGGCUGCUCCUAGUACGAGAGGACCGGAGUGGACGCAUCACUGGUGUUCGGGUUGUCAUGCCAAUGGCACUGCCCGGUAGCUAAAUGCGGAAGAGAUAAGUGCUGAAAGCAUCUAAGCACGAAACUUGCCCCGAGAUGAGUUCUCCCUGACCCUUUAAGGGUCCUGAAGGAACGUUGAAGACGACGACGUUGAUAGGCCGGGUGUGUAAGCGCAGCGAUGCGUUGAGCUAACCGGUACUAAUGAACCGUGAGGCUUAACCUUACAACGCCGAAGCUGUU
rnacentral:rRNA from 1 species